rnacentral:rRNA from 1 species
UACGAGGGGGGCAAAUGUUGUUCGGAAUCACUGGGCGUAAAGGGAGCGUAGGCGGGUUUCUAAGUCAGGUGUUUAAUCCCGGGGCCCAACCCCGGACAGGCACUUGAAACUGGGAAUCUUGAAUAGGGGAGAGGUCAGUGGAAUUGGAGGUGUAGCGGUGGAAUGCGUAGAGAUCUCCAAGAACACCAGUUGCGAAGGCGGCUGACUGGACCCAUAUUGACGCUGAGGCUCGAAAAGCAUGGGGGAGCAAACAGG